UGAAGAAAUCGGCGCCGGAAUACACGUCAGUGUUUGGCACCAGGAACGAUUAAAACAUGUUUAAAUGGAAGACGGUUUGGGAAGAAAUACAGACUCGGUGCAUAUAAAAUAAGAAUUUGGUUACGGUGUUUCCUGGAAGCCGAGGAGCGACUAUGGACAUUAUGAAAAAAAACAAGGAAAAGUGCGAAGUUGGCAGGUGAAGGUGAUUGAGCGAGGAAAGCCGUUGAAUGGAAAAGUACAGACAGGGUGCAAGUAAAGGCAGCAUUCCAAAGUGACGGCGGACUCCCCGGUGGGUCCACCAUCAAGUUGACCCGAGUUGGAGCACGCCACCGCCAACAUGAAUCGCGUUCCCCCGUUGAGCCGCGUGGGCGAGUGAGUCAACCAAACAUAACCUUGCCAGACCCUCCCGCGGCGAAGCCCCUCCCCUCCCUGCUGGGACAGCGGAGUCCCAACCCCAGAGCAACCCCACCUCAGCCCGGCACCAGGCCCCCCCCCCGUGGCCCGCCGUCAAGCUGAGCGCCAGGCCAUCUCCUCAAAGGAGUUGUGGGAAUAAAUGAUGGCCAUUAUCACAGUCACCUGGGAGGACGCCAUGACAACUGUGAGGAGCGCCACAGGAAGCCAUCUUGUGGGUCUCAUUAAAAUUCAUCGAAGAUGGCGACUUCGGGCUCCCCGGCCCAGAAGACGCCAUCUUCAAUAUGAUUUUGCUGCCCUUUUGUUCACUGUUAAGUGUGGGCAAAAAGAUUGAAAUGUUUCAUGCAGCCGUGGUGUCAAAACCAUCGAACUGAUGAACUCGAAACGAUUGCGAUCAUGAACUGACAACUCAUAACUGACCAACAUUCUAAUUGGCAACCUAAAACGACCAAUCAAUUAGCCAACUGGAUGACCAACUUGCAAACCAUUUGACUAACCAACCAAACUACCCAAAAAUAACGAUUUAAAAAAAAAAAAUGACUCCCUGACGACCGCCGAUUCAGUUCACCAACCUAACGACCGGGAUACGUGGGUAGACGAAGGAGAGCACUCAGCUGAUUCGUUAUUCAGGUAAUUAGCAAUUUUAGUCCAUUGGUUACAUUCUUUGGCUGAGAGGCGAGUUGGUUAGUUUGUUACUCACGAGUAAUUCAAUUGGACAGCUGGACACGCCCCAAAGUGAAUUGGUUUACAACCAGUGUGACAAGCGAUCUGUAAUUGUUUAUCCUUUGUGUAUUUUGACCAAAUAAAUAUUCGUGCCUCCUC